rnacentral:rRNA from 1 species
GAACGCUGGCGGCGUGCCUAAUACAUGCAAGUCGAGCGGAGUAAAGACUUCGGUUUUUAUUGAGCGGCGGACGGGUGAGUAACACGUAGGUAACCUGCCUAACAGACUGGGAUAACUACCGGAAACGGUAGCUAAGACCGGAUACGACAAUUUGAGGGCAUCCUCGAGUUGAGAAAAGCGGAGCAAUCUGCUGCUGAUAGAUGGACCUGCGGCGCAUUAGCUAGUUGGUGAGGUAGAGGCUCACCAAGGCGACGAUGCGUAGCCGACCUGAGAGGGUGAACGGCCACACUGGGACUGAGACACGGCCCAGACUCCUACGGGAGGCAGCAGUAGGGAAUCUUCGGCAAUGGACGAAAGUCUGACCGAGCAACGCCGCGUGAGUGAUGAAGGUUUUCGGAUCGUAAAACUCUGUUGCCAGGGAAGAAUAGUUAGGCGAGUAACUGCGCUUAGCAUGACGGUACCUGAGAAGAAAGCCCCGGCUAACUACGUGCCAGCAGCCGCGGUAAUACGUAGGGGGCAAGCGUUGUCCGGAAUUAUUGGGCGUAAAGCGCGCGCAGGCGGUUAAGUAAGUCUGGUGUAUAAACCAAGGGCUCAACCUUUGGACGCAUUGGAAACUGUUUGACUGGAGUGUAGGAGAGGAAAGUGGAAUUCCACGUGUAGCGGUGAAAUGCGUAGAGAUGUGGAGGAACACCAGUGGCGAAGGCGACUUUCUGGCCUAUAACUGACGCUGAGGCGCGAAAGCGU